GACGGAGGAUGCAAGUGUUAUCCGGAAUCACUGGGCGUAAAGCGUCUGUAGGUGGUUUAAUAAGUCAACUGUUAAAUCUUGAGGCUCAACCUCAAAAUCGCAGUCAAAACUAUUAGGCUAGAGUAUAGUAGGGGUAAAGGGAAUUUCCAGUGGAGCGGUGAAAUGCGUAGAGAUUGGAAAGAACACCGAUGGCGAAGGCACUUUACUGGGCUAUUACUAACACUCAGAGACGAAAGCUAGGGUAGCAAAUGGG
rnacentral:rRNA from 1 species